rnacentral:rRNA from 1 species
AACGAACGCUGGCGGUAUGCUUAACACAUGCAAGUCGAACGAACAAAAUUGGGGCUUGCUCCAAUUUUAGUGAGUGGCAAACGGGUGAGUAACACGUGGGAAUCUACCUAUCAGUACGGAAUAACAUUUGGAAACAGAUGCUAAUACCGUAUAUUCUCCAAGGAGGAUAGAUUUAUCGCUGAUAGAUGAGCCCGCGUAAGAUUAGGUAGUUGGUAGGGUAAUGGCCUACCAAGCCGACGAUCUUUAGCUGGUCGGAGAGGAUGAUCAGCCACACUGGGACUGAGACACGGCCCAGACUCCUACGGGAGGCAGCAGUGGGGAAUAUUGGACAAUGGGCGAAAGCCUGAUCCAGCAAUACCGCGUGAAUGAUGAAGGCCUUAGGGUUGUAAAGUUCUUUUAGUUGGAAAGAUAAUGACGGUACCAACAGAAAAAGCCCCGGCUAACUCCGUGCCAGCAGCCGCCGUAA